rnacentral:rRNA from 1 species
UGGCUAUUGCUUAAAAGGCGGCGAAAGCUGUCGCUAAAGGAUGGACCCGCGGUGCAUUAGCUAGUUGGUAAGGUAAUGGCUUACCAAGGCGACGAUGCAUAGCCGAGUUGAGAGACUGAUCGGCCACAUUGGGACUGAGACGCGGCCCAAACUCCUACGGGAGGCAGCAGUAGGGAAUCUUCCACAAUGGGCGAAAGCCUGAUGGAGCAACGCCGCGUGAGUGAAGAAGGUUUUCGGAUCGUAAAGCUCUGUUGUUGGUGAAGAAGGAUAGAGGUAGUAACUGGCCCCUAUUUGACGGUAAUCAACCAGAAAGUCACGGCUAACUACGUGCCAGCAGCCGCGGUAAUACGUAGGUGGCAAGCGUUGUCCGGAUUUAUUGGGCGUAAAGCGAGCGCAGGCGGAAAGAUAAGUCUGAUGUGAAAGCCCCCGGCUUAACCGAGGAAUUGCAUCGGAAACUGUGUUUCUUGAGUGCAGAAGAGGAGAGUGGAACUCCAUGUGUAGCGGUGGAAUGCGUAGAUAUAUGGAAGAACACCAGUGGCGAAGGCGGCUCUCUGGUCUGUAACUGACGCUGAGGCUCGAAAGCAUGGGUAG